ACAGCAUGCUGCCGGAGUGGUGUUUCCCUCGGACACUCGCAACUCCUGUCUGAGGCUGUGACGUGGAGAGCAGCAGUGGGAGCAGCCAGUAUCGAUGGUCCUGGAUACUCCAGAAACUCCUAGUUGCAAGGGCUGCUGGCAAGGGAGACGCUGAGAGGACCGCUCUGCUGCUGUCGAGACAAGAACUUAACAGAUUUAAAGUCUGGAGCGUGCAGAUGCAUCGAUGCUGAGAAGUCUCUGCCUGCAUGUUUCUGAAGCAGUUUUGGCACCAAGCUCUUGGGCUGCGGAGAGCUUGGCUACGCUGCUGUGCUGUCUUGGAGAGCACCGGUUCCCUGCAUUCUGCAAGCAUUGUCUCAUGAGCUCCAGGACGUGCCCACC